UUGUAGAUAGUAUAAAGAAUUUUAUAUCAAAAUUUCAUCUGAUUUAAAUACUUCUACACCGUUAAACUUGAAAACGACAGAUAUCAACCAUUAAAAAUUAUUGAUUUUGAAUCUUUUCGAUCACUAAGUAAAUGAUAUCAAAAAAUCACAAAAAUUAUUUUCUAGAAACUUAAAAUACCCUAGAUCAAGUCUAACGGAGCCGAUCAUCAAUUCGAAAAUUCCAUCAUUGAAAACGGCUCAGGAGCACGGAGGCCUCCGUGCUCCUGAGAGCACAACAGCCCUGCUCUCUCUCUCUCUCUCUCUCUCUCUCUCUUGCUCUCUCUCUCUCUAUAUAUAUUACUAAAUUUACUCCCGUUGAUACGAUUAGUACUAAAAUUUUACAACUGUAAAA
rnacentral:lncRNA from 1 species